rnacentral:rRNA from 1 species
AGCGGCGGACGGGUGCGUAAUGCCUAGGAAUCUGCCUAGUAGUGGGGGACAACGUUUCGAAAGGAACGCUAAUACCGCAUACGUCCUACGGGAGAAAGUGGGGGAUCUUCGGACCUCACGCUAUUAGAUGAGCCUAGGUCGGAUUAGCUAGUUGGUAGGGUAAAGGCCUACCAAGGCGACGAUCCGUAACUGGUCUGAGAGGAUGAUCAGUCACACUGGAACUGAGACACGGUCCAGACUCCUACGGGAGGCAGCAGUGGGGAAUAUUGGACAAUGGGCGAAAGCCUGAUCCAGCCAUGCCGCGUGUGUGAAGAAGGCCUUCGGGUCGUAAAGCACUUUAAGUUGGGAGGAAGGGCUCAUAGCGAAUACCUGUGAGUUUUGACGUUACCAACAGAAUAAGCACCGGCUAACUUCGUGCCAGCAGCCGCGGUAAUACGAAGGGUGCAAGCGUUAAUCGGAAUUACUGGGCGUAAAGCGCGCGUAGGUGGCUUGAUAAGUUGGAUGUGAAAUCCCCGGGCUCAACCUGGGAACUGCAUCCAAAACUGUCUGGCUAGAGUGCGGUA